rnacentral:rRNA from 1 species
CUUAAAUUGAAGAGUUUGAUCAUGGCUCAGAUUGAACGCUGGCGGCAGGCCUAACACAUGCAAGUCGAGCGGAAACGACACUAACAAUCCUUCGGGUGCGUUAAUGGGCGUCGAGCGGCG